GAGAUUUGCAUGGAGACCUCACAGCCUUAGCAGCAGGAUGACAGAUAAGGAAGCUUGGUGGCCCCAUUAUUGACUGUCGGGCUGACAAAGAGGAGCCUGGGACACCCCCAUCAUGGCCUGGCCUCUGCUCCUCCUCACUGUCCUCAUCCACUGCACAGGAUCUUGGGCUGACGUCACGUUCACUCAGCCCUCCUCUGUGUCAGGGUCUCCUGGGCAGAAGGUCACCAUCUCCUGCACCCGCAGCAGUGGCAACAUUGGGGACAAUUAUGUGUACUGGUACCAGCAGCGCCUGGGCAGUGCCCCCACACUGUUGAUCUACAGGGAUAACCAAAGACCGUCGGGGGUUCCUAAUCGGUUCUCUGGCUCCAUAGAUGGCUCCUCCAACUCAGCUUACCUGACCAUCUCUGACGUGCAGCCUGAAGACGAGGCCGACUACUACUGUCAGUCUGGUUAUGGUAACGACUACACACAGUGCUCCAGAUCCACGGGGAAGUGAGACAAAACCUCCCCAGACUGUCCUACCCUGGGCCCGGCCUCAUCUAGACCCCACCAGGAAGGAUUGCCCUGUCUUGGCUGUUGCUGGAAUGCCAGCAUUGGACAUUUU